rnacentral:rRNA from 1 species
UCCGCAGGCUGUUGUUUAAGUCAGAGGUGAAAGUUUGCAGCUCAACUGUAAAAUUGCCUUUGAUACUGGAUAACUUGAGUAAUAAUGAAGUGGUUAGAAUAUGUAGUGUAGCGGUGAAAUGCAUAGAUAUUACAUAGAAUACCGAUUGCGAAGGCAGAUCACUAAUUAUAUACUGACGCUGAGGGACGAAAGCGUGGGGAGCGAACA